rnacentral:rRNA from 1 species
UACGUAGGGGGCAAGCGUUGUCCGGAUUUAUUGGGCGUAAGGAGCGUGUAGGCGGCUUUACAGGUCCGUUGUGAAAACUCGAGGCUCAACCUCGAGACGCCGGUGGAAACCGUAAGGCUAGAGUCCGGAAGAGGAGAGUGGAAUUCCUGGUGUAGCGGUGAAAUGCGCAGAUAUCAGGAAGAACACCCGUGGCGAAGGCGGCUCUCUGGGACGGUACUGACGCUGAGACGCGAAAGCGUGGGGAGCGAACAGG